AAAAUAAUCCUACCCUUUGUGAAUUUUGUUUGUUUGAAUAAUUUUUUCUUUUUAAAAAAUUAUUGGAGUCUUUCCCUUUAGAGUUUGCUUUUGAGUUUGUAAAAGAAUUCGAAAACAUCUAAAGGGGAUGGUCAAUAAUUUUUUUGAAAAAAGACAUUUUUUAAAAUUAAACUUUUUGUAUUCAUUUGUCUAAAAAUUAUUUUUAUAAUAUAAAAACAACUUUUGACAAUGGAUCUCUUGGUUCUCGCAACGAUGAAGAACGCAGCAAAAUGCGAUAAGUAGUGUGAAUUGCAGAAUACGUGAAUCAUCGAAUCUUUGAACGCAUAUUGCACUUUUUUAGUUUACUAAAAAAGUAUGUCUGUUUGAGUAUCAGUAAAAUAUUCUCAUAAAAAUCAUUGUGUAUUUUUAUGGUUAUGAGUGUUUUACAACGAUACAAGUUGUUUCACUUUAAAUUUUUUUUUAAUAUUGAAAUUUUUCUAAUUUUAAUAAUUAAAAUUGGAUAAAAUUUUCCCGUCAAAAGGAAUAACCUAAACAAUUUUAAAUGAUUAAUUUUAGCAAAAUUUUCGUAAAAAAGGAAAAUUUUUAUUAAAAUAACUUGAUCUCAAAUCAGAUAAGAGUACCCGCUGAACUUAAGCAUAUCAAUAAGCGGAGGAAAAGAAACUAACAAGGAUUCCCUUAGUAACGGCGAGUGAAGCGGGAAGAGCUCAAAUUUGAAAUCUUCAAGGUUUUACCUUGACGAAGUGUAGUUUAAAGAAGUGUUUUCUGCUGAAGUUUUGGUAAAAGUUCUUUGGAAUAGGACAUCAUAGAGGGUGAGAAUCCCGUAUUUGACCAUUAUUUUCAGCUUUGUGAUACACUUUCAAAGAGUCGGAUUGUUUGGGAAUGCAGUCCAAAAUGGGUGGUAAAUUUCAUCUAAAGCUAAAUAUUGGCGAGAGACCGAUAGCGAACAAGUACCGUGAGGGAAAGAUGAAAAGAACUUUGAAAAGAGAGUUAAACAGUACGUGAAAUUGUCAAAAGGGAAGCGUUUGACACCAGUGUUGUUUUCUCGAAAAUCAAUUAAAAAUGGCUCGAUUUUGUAUUGCUGAGACCUUAAAAGCUCACUGUACAUUUUUCGUGUCUUUUUUAAUGCACUUUUCGUUUAACAAGUCAACAUCAGUUUCUUUUGUUGUAAAAGGGUCAUUGGAAGGUGGCUUUCUUCUCGGAGAAAGUGUUUAUAGCCUUUGGCCUCUGCAAUCGGAGAGACUGAGGUCUGCAGCGUAGACUCUUCGGGUUAGAUACAUUUGUGCUAAGUUAUAGCUUUUUAUAGACAACUUGUUGACUAUAAUUAGUCUUGUAGCUUACUCGCUUAUGCUAUUU
rnacentral:misc_RNA from 1 species